GCCCGUGACAAGUAAAAAAAUCAUAGAGUUACUCGCUCUCCGAAAACAAUCUAAAACCCAAAGGUUUAACCAAUUCAAUUUUCUAGUCACUGUGACAACUAUUUUCAUCCCCAGAACAGCGCUGGGGGCACGAAUACAGGACUAAUCCCAGGGUACUUUCACGGGCAAGCCCCGCUGGAAACUCUGAGAGAAGCUUCCGUUCCCGGACUCGCUGUGGGCAAGGGCAUCUGAUGACUCUCAGAGUCUCUUGCCAUGAAGACAGAUGCUUUAUUUACAGUCAGGGAGGGAGAAACCUGCUACUUGGGAGUUGAUUAUUGAGAUCCUAGGCAAUCAGUGGUGAGAAGGUCCAGCUUCAGAGGGAGUGGGGAAAAUCCAUUCAGGGUUUGCAAGGCCCAGGAGAGCAGCAUAAAGAAAAUAAAGGGGCGGGGGGGGGGGCAGUGCGAUGGACUGGGAUUUGGGGUUGGUAGAUGCAAACUAUUACAUUUAGAAUGAAUAAGCAGUGGGGUCCUAUUGUGCAGCACAGGGAGCUACAGCCAGUCUCUUGAGAUCCAUCAUGAUGGAAGAUAACAUAAGAAAGGGAAUAUAUGGAAUAUAUGUAUAUAUACAUAUAUACACACUUACAAUUGGGUCACUAUGCUGUGCAGCAGAAAUUGACACAACACUAUAAAUCAACUCUACUCUAAUAAAAAUUAAGUUGAAUACAUCUAAAUAUUUUAAAAAUAGAGAACACUGGGUCUGGAAUACCCAGACUUGAAUCCUGUCGAGUUAAGAAUGUGUGGUCUUGGAGCUCCCACUGUGGCACAAUGGGAUCAGCAGCAUCUUGAGAGUGCUGGGUUGCAGCUUUGAUCCCUGGCCUGGCAUGGUGGGUUAAGGAUCCAGCGUUGCUGCAGCUGUGGAGCAGGUCGAGACAGCGGCUCGGAUCUGAUCCCUAGCCCAGGAGCUCCAUAUGCCAUGGGACAGCCAAAAAAAAAAAAAAAGAGUAUAUGUGGUCUUGGUUAAAUCAUUUCGCCUUCCUAAGCCUCAACUGCCCCAAUAUGAAUAGAUGAAAAGGGCCACGUGAGACUCAACAGUAUGAAAGCCCCCCUGGCACAAUGCCUGGCACAUAGUAAGAGCUCAGUAAGUAUUUGCUGAAACACAGUCUGAAACAAGAAAUGCUGAAUUAUUGACAUCACUCCUUAACCAAUGGGCAAAAGUGUACUUACUGAAUGCACGCCAUAUGCCAAGCACUAAAUGGUGAGAAGAGAGAGGUAAAACCAGAUUACAAUGCCUGUCCUCAGGGCACGACAGAGAAAAUUCGUAGGACUGGAUAAGGAGAUCAGUCAUCUCCAAAUAUGAAAUCUAGAGCCCGAGGGGCGGGUAUCUGACCCGCACCCAGUGCGGGGGGGGGGGGGGGGGGGGGAAGACCCUGGAAACUAUCCAGAACCUUCCCACUCAAAGGUAGGUAGUUACACUCUGGUGUCUUGUAACUUACAGACUAACUCCUGCUGUCAUGGGCCCAGGGAAGGACGCUCAUUUUAACAUUAGUCUCAAACAGGUUGUUAGGAAGAUAAACCUGCAGCAAAUGUCAACACCUAAGCAUGGGUUGGUUUAGCAUAAUCUAAACACCCAAAGCAAAGAUUCAAGGGCAGACACAAGUGCCGUCCUGGAAAGCUGAAGGUAAAUUAAAAUGCCAUCUAGAGUAUUCGGCUCUUUUUCCUAUUGAACUGCAUUAGCCACUUGCAUUCUUGGGGUACCACCUCUGUGAUAUCUAUCCUCAAGCACAAUAAAAAAGGAGAAGGCAAGAGGUAGAAAGAAGAAGGAAGAGGAAGGAGGUGGGGGAUGGAAGAGGAAAAGGAGAAAAAGAAACUUAAAAAUCUUCCCAACAGCUCAGAUCUCAGUGCAGCCAUUCAACAGGGCAUUGGCACAGGGGGCGGGUGGCUCCGAGGGGCGGGGGGCGGGGAGGGGUUCUCUUCCCAAUGGAACUGACAGAAAUGGGAGUGAACUCAGCAAGCUACAAGGCCUUCCCUUCUCCUGGCUUCCCUUCCAAGGGGAAAGGGACUUGCUUCCUUCCCAGAACUUAAAGGAUUUGUUGUUUCAGAGGCAGCUGCCAUCUGUAGCUCCCAUCUCUCCUUCCCCAGAAUUUCCCAAGCCAAAAUCAUCUGGGGACGAGCCAUAGGCUCUUCAUCAUAGUAGAUGUCACCCAUAUUAUUAUUUGUUGUUUGUUUUUUUAAUUUAGGGGAUUUUCUUGGCCCCAACUACAGCAUGUGUAAUUUUGAGCCAGGGAUCGAACCUGUGCUGUAACUUGGGCUAUAACCUGUGCUGUAGCUGUAAAAUGCUAGAUCUUUAACCUGCUGCACCACCAGGGAACUCCUUUUAUUUGUUUUUUAUUUCUCAUUUAAAUCAACUUACUUUUGCAAAUGGCAAUUUCUAGGUCCAUCCAAACUGCCUCAAAUGGCAUUAUUUCGUUCCUUUUCAUGGCUGAGUAAUAUUCCAUCAUACAUAUGCACCACAUCAUCUUUAUCCAUUCCUCUAAUGCCAUUUGCAGUAACAUGGAUGGACCUAGAGAUUAUCAUAUUAAGUGAGGUUAGACAGUGGAAGACAAACAUCAUAUGGUAUCACUUGUAUGUGGAAUCUAAAAAAAAAAAAAAAAGAAUACAAAUGAACUUACUUGCAGAACAGAAAUAAACUCACAGACUUUAAAAACAAAUCUGUGGCUACCAAAGAGGACAGAUUGUGGGGGAGAGAGUGGACUGAGGGCUUGGGAUUGGCAGGUGCAAGGAAUAAUGGGCCAACAGGGCCCUGCUGUACAGCGCUGGGAACUCUACCCAACAUUCUGGGAUAAUCUAUACGGGGAAAGAAUCUGAAAAAGAAUGGACAUGUGUACAUGUAUAACUGAAUCACUUUGUUGUACAGAAGUUAUCGCAACACUGUAAAUCCACUAUACUUUAAUAAAACUUUAAAAAAAGAAAAAAAUACCUCUACCUUCAAUCUCCUUUUCAGGAAACUCUUCUCUCCUUUUAAAAAUACAGAGAAUGAUGCUCACCAUAUUCUACCAUGUAGAUGAUCAAAGCUAAAUCUUUUGCCAUAUGUCCUUCUAAUUUUCUUUAAGUAAUACAGCACUAAAAAUACCCCAAAAAUCAAGUUGCUUUUCAAAACGUGACUAUUGUUCUAGGCAGAAAUAUCUAUAAAAGCAUGGUUUGUAUUGCACUAGUUACAUUUUCCUGAUACACACUGAGGUAAAUUACUACCAUUAAAAUAGCUUAGCAUAGCGGUCAGAAGCACAGAUGCUGACUGCAUUCAAAUCCUGGCUCUGCCACUACUAGCUGUGUGAUCUUGGGUGAGUUACUUAACCUCUCAGUGCCUCAGCUUUACGAUCUGUUAAAUAAUAAUACCUACCUCACGGAGUCACUCUGAGGAUCUACUUUAUGAAUAUUUGUAACACACUGAGGAUUCAAUUCGAGAAUAUUUGUAAAAUACUCGUAUCGUCUAGAACUCUCUACACGAACAACACCAUGAAAGGCACGCAGGUACACGCCAUCUCUUACCUCAGGAUUUGCCUGUGUCGUUCCUCCUCUUGGGGUCACUCUACUGUUCCCCCUCCCCUAUUCCAUCGAGAAAGCAAAAACAAAAGCAACAGACAACACGCCCUCAUUCCUGCCCUCUUGAAAGCCACCCAUCUUCAGGUCCAUGUUGAAUAGAUAGAAUAAUUGAGCAUCUGUUAUUUUGCAAGCCCUGUGCUCAGCCCUUUGAAGACAUCACCUAAAUUAAUUUGUCAUUUUUCUCUAUGAGGAAGGCCCAAGCUUAAAGAGAUGAGGUUCCUUUCCCAAGGGCCUACACCAGGUAAGUAGAAGAGUCAGGAUUCAAACCCAGGUCCAUCUGACCCCACAGCCUAGGCUCAUCCCACUGAGCCCUGAGGCCCCACGUGGAGGUUCCCUCUUCCCAGGACCCAUCACAUGAAUCUUCUUUCCUCUCCCAUGAGACUGAAUAAAGUCUGCUUUAUAACAGAAUUAUUUAUCUGCUUGUCUUUCCCCCUCAGUUAUUCAAGAUAAUCUUUUCUGUUUUCAGCAUUUUGAAAAGAAAUUGGAGUCCCCUUGUGGCUCAGCAGGUUAAGAACCCGAUAUAGUGUCCGUGAGAACGCAGGUUCAAUCCCUGGCCUCACUCAGUGGGUUAAGGAUCUGGCGUUGCCCAUGAGCUGUGGUGUAGGUCACAGACACGGCUCGGAUCCUGCAUUGCUGUGGCUGUGGUGUAGGCUGGCAGCUGUAGCUCUGGUUCGACCCCUAGCCUGGGAACAUCCAUGUGCCUCAGCUGAGGCCCUAAACAGGCAAAGAAAAAAGAAAAGAAAUCAUCUUAAAAUUUCCCUGAAUUUGAAAAAGGAUUUCAUUAUGCUGAGCUGAACGUAACCUUUUCUUUGCAACUCCAGUCAUCCUUAUCAGUGACAAACACUGUUAUGUUCUAUGCUCUGGACGUGACUUCAGGGCAAUUGCUCUCUGUGUGGUACAGGGUGACUGUUAAAAAAAAUCAGACUCCUCAGCCCCUCCUCGGGUCUACGGAAUCAAAAUCUCUGGGUUAAGGACCAGGAGUCACUCAAGUUUCAGAAUCACUGCCUUGGGCUCUGGAUGGGCAUUUGACCCUGCUUUACACUCCCAGACAGCGACUGUGUUUUAGAGCUUGUGUCUGUUUUUCAUGGGUUUUUUUGACCUCUCCCACCCUGCACGUUGACAGCUAUCAUUUCUCACUGCCAACCAACACUGCGGCAUAAAUUUCUUCUAUUUUAUCUUCUAGCCACCAGUGCUAUGGUUUCCAAACUCUUUCUUGUUAGUUUUAGCACACUCUUCCUGAAAACUGAGUCUUCGACAGAUGCCAAUGUACAGCACAUACUAUCAGAGCUAUUCUGAGGGACCAGAAGGGAAUGGCCUGGAUUCCAAUGCUGGUCCCACUUCCUGUCCUCUGCAUCCCCAUCGCCACCAUCCGGGGUGGCCUGAGUCCCUCCCCAGAUUCCCUAUGCUUCCCAGACAGCCUUUCCCAAACCACCAAAAUAAUGCAACCUUCCGGCAGCUCUUGCCACACAUUUAGAGUGACCAAUACCUUAUUUUUUAUACAGGCUCAAACUGAUCAGAAAAGAGUCUUUUCAGGAAAGUUUGUCAGUAUCAUCCAAAGUCAAACGUGGAUUCCUUUUUCUUUGAGAGCCUAUCACCACAUGCAUAACCAGCCCCUCUAUUUGCAAAGUCACCCCUUACAGUGAAUAUUCUUGACAUGAGAGAGGAUAAUCUCAUUAUACUGGCAUUGGGACUAUCCUCUACUUUUUUAAAGACUCUUAGAAAGGCUCUCAGAAAAAUAAUGGUCAAGGAAAUUUGCCUUUUCCAGAAAAUCUCUCCUCUGGAAAAGAGAAUGAGAAAGAGCAUCCAGAAAAACAUUCUAACCUUUUUAAAAUUUUAGGCAUCUUGUAUUGGCUGCGUUCUAAAUAUGUGAGGAGUAUAUGAAUAAUCUAAAAAUAUGUUUCAGGCAGCAAUCUUUAAACUUGAGAAAAUAUUUUUAAGCUAAGUUCUCUUAGGCUCUUUUUGGAUUUUCCUUCUAAAAUGUAUCACGUUGAAAAGAUAAAUAAAUAAAUAAGUCUAGUCUUGCACGCAAGAUUAAAUGAUCCACCACACGCCUUUUUUUUUUCGCGUGCUUUCAUGCUGUUCGUUAAGUAAGUCAUCUCAGUAAAAGAGAAAAUGAUAUAUAAAUUUGUCCAUUAAUUCAGUCAAUUCAGCAGAAAUUCAUUGUAGAACUGUACGCCUGCCAUGCUAGUGCUGGUGGCAUAGAUAUGAGAGCCAAAUGCUUGUUUUUCAGGAACUUACAGUUGUAUCAGAGAACCUUCUAACUAAAAGUUUAAACAUGUAAAAACAAAGCACAGAAUUAAUUCAUCCAUAAUAAUAUGUUCAAGAAAAUAUACCUUAUUUGGGAAGCAUAGUAGAUAAAUAAAUAAACAAAAUUCCUAAUGCUGAGAUGUAGAAUUGAAGAAGUGGGAUGAACAUUGUGUGCUCUGAAGGUGGGGCACAUGGCGGGUACAUGAUCUCUCUGGUGAAUUAAGACCAGGUUCAAAGUCACGUCGAGAGAAGGAGAGAUGGCACUGCAGCCAAAGUGGGACAAUUAAUGCCUAUAGGUAAAAGAUAGGUGUCCAGAGUGUUCCCUCUGCUAUUCUUUCGACUUUUCUGUAGCUUUGAAUUUUUUCAAAAUAAAAUUGGGUGGGCGGGUGGUGGAAGGUUCAAACACACACAUCCGGACAAGGCACAGCCAUCAGCGCCUGGACUGGGGUGAGGAAAUGGAGCCACUGGUGUGAGCCAUGCAUUUAUUCGCUCAUUUAGUCACCAACCAGGUCCCGAAGCCCAGCUCUCUGCUAAGUGACUGCUCAGCGAGGAACGUAGUCUGUGCUAAGAAAC
rnacentral:lncRNA from 1 species